UGAGAUUAAAGCUGAAAUCCUAAGCAUCCAACAUAUAUCAGGAACCCAGUGCAAGUUUAAUGAAUGCAUACAGAAUACCGAGAAACCUGAAGUUAUCCUGAGAACAAACGUCACUGCCAUGGAAACAGCUCCUCCACGUUCCCGAUGGUGCACUGGUUUUCUUUCCUGUCUGACCAACAAGCCUCUGGAGAGUGGCCACCAUCUUACAGGCUCACUUUGUAUUCUGUAAACUUUCAGUUGGAAAAUAAACACACUGUCUCCCUGUCAAAG
rnacentral:lncRNA from 1 species